UACGUAGGGUGCAAGCGUUGUCCGGAAUUAUUGGGCGUAAAGAGCUCGUAGGCGGUUUGUCGCGUCUGCUGUGAAAACCCGAGGCUCAACCUCGGGCCUGCAGUGGGUACGGGCAGACUAGAGUGUGGUAGGGGAGACUGGAAUUCCUGGUGUAGCGGUGAAAUGCGCAGAUAUCAGGAGGAACACCGGUGGCGAAGGCGGGGUCUCUGGGCCGUAACUGACGCUGGAGGAGCGAAAGCCGUGGGGAGCAAACAGG
rnacentral:rRNA from 1 species